rnacentral:lncRNA from 13 species
AUGUAAGUUUCUAGCACCUGCAUACAAGUUCCUGAAUGAAUUGGAUAUACAUUCAUAUUACCUUUGUUGGCCUCCUGACCCCACUUUCUACAUGGAAGUCCCCCAAUUGCAUCUCUGUACUUUAGGAUUUAAAAUUAAGUAGGUUUGAUCAUCCAAAAUACAGUAGUGUCUUUUUGUUAUUUUUGUUUUUUUUUAAGAUGGAGUCUCCUCUGUUGCCCAGGCUGGAGUGGCACAAUCUCAGCUCACUACAACCUCUGCCUCCCGAGUUCAAGUAAUUUCCCUGCCUCAGCCUCCCAAGGAGCUGUGACUACAGGCACACACCACCAGGCCAGGGGACAUGGAUGAAUCUGGAAAACAUCAUCCUCAGCAAACUGACACAAGAACAGAAAAUGAAACACCGCAUAUUCUCACUCAUAGGUGG